rnacentral:rRNA from 1 species
UACGUAGGGUGCAAGCGUUGUCCGGAAUUAUUGGGCGUAAAGAGCUCGUAGGCGGUCUGUCACGUCGGCUGUGAAAAUCCCGAGGCUCAACCUCGGGUCUGCAGUCGAUACGGGCAAACUAGAGUAUUGCAGGGGAGACUGGAAUUCCUGGUGUAGCGGUGGAAUGCGCAGAUAUCAGGAGGAACACCAAUGGCGAAGGCAGAUCUCUGGCCCGGAACUGACGCUGAGAUGCGAAAGCGUGGGGAGCAAACAGG